UACGUAGGGUGCGAGCGUUAAUCGGAAUUACUGGGCGUAAAGCGUGCGCAGGCGGUUGUGCAAGACAGAGGGGAAAUCCCCGGGCUUAACCUGGGAAUGGCCUUUGUGACUGCACGGCUAGAGUGUGUCAGAGGGGGGUAGAAUUCCACGUGUAGCAGUGAAAUGCGUAGAGAUGUGGAGGAAUACCGAUGGCGAAGGCAGCCCCCUGGGAUAACACUGACGCUCAUGCACGAAAGCGUGGGGAGCAAACAGG
rnacentral:rRNA from 1 species